rnacentral:tRNA from 1 species
GCUCUUGUAGCUCAGGUGGUUUGAAUACCUGUUUUUUAAGCGGGAGGUCUUGAGUUCAACUCUCAACAAGUGCA